rnacentral:rRNA from 1 species
GACGAACGCUGGCGGCGUGCCUAAUACAUGCAAGUAGAACGCUGAAGGAGGAGCUUGCUUCUCUGGAUGAGUUGCGAACGGGUGAGUAACGCGUAGGUAACCUGCCUGGUAGCGGGGGAUAACUAUUGGAAACGAUAGCUAAUACCGCAUAAGAGUAGAUGUUGCAUGACAUUUGCUUAAAAGGUGCAAUUGCAUCACUACCAGAUGGACCUGCGUUGUAUUAGCUAGUUGGUGGGGUAACGGCUUACCAAGGCGACGAUACAUAGCCGACCUGAGAGGGUGAUCGGCCACACUGGGACUGAGACACGGCCCAGACUCCUACGGGAGGCAGCAGUAGGGAAUCUUCGGCAAUGGACGGAAGUCUGACCGAGCAACGCCGCGUGAGUGAAGAAGGUUUUCGGAUCGUAAAGCUCUGUUGUAAGAGAAGAACGAGUGUGAGAGUGGAAAGUUCACACUGUGACGGUAUCUUACCAGAAAGGGACGGCUAACUACAUG